UUAUGUGUUAAUGAUUUAUGUGGUUAAAUAUAUCGCUCUCCUAGUAAUAGAGGGGCACAAUUCAAAAUUUUCCGUUUUCGACUUUUUGUGAUAAAUCGGCCCAAAACAAACAGUUCUAGCACCACAAUUUAAUAAAAAAAGAAUAAAGGCUCAAAUCAAACGAGCGUUGAAUUUGUGUCUCUUUGACACGGAGGAUUUCCUCCGUCCUUCUUCCCGCGAAAGAGGCCCAUUUAGUAAGGCGCCAGUAUUUGUGGAAGCAUCACGCCGCGCGUGGAAGCCGAUUUCGAUUUAGGCCCGUCUAUCAUGAAUAAUCUGAAUAUUUUAAGAAAAGUCGCCGUGUUCACAAAAAAUUUUGAACAUGCUAAAUUCGUCGAUUCCACCGCCUCGAAUCAUACAAAAAACUACAGGUUCAAAAGAUAAGGUUGGAUUUAAAAUUAUUAGGCAUUAUUAUUUAUCAUACAUUUUGCUUAUUUAUAAUUUUGUUAUCCUUAUUUGGUUGAAUUGGAUACACCUACCUGUUAAAAAAUCUUGAAAAAGUUGAGCAAGUGAAAGAGUUUGUAUAUCUAGGAUCAAAGUUUACAUCAGAUGGCAAGUGUGAUAGUGAUAUUGAAAGGAGAGUGAACGCGGGGAACAUGGUGAAUGGAGCUUUGCAAGCCUUUAUGAGCAGUCAGAAACUAUCCAAAAAGGCCCCGACAUUAAUGUAUGGGAGUAAACGUUGGGUAUGGCAAAAGAAGCACGAAAGCAGAAUAAAUGCAGUGGAAAUGAGAGCGUUAAGGAGUAUGUUGGGUGUGAAAUUGAGUGACCGGAUAAGGAACAGGGUGAUAAGGGAAUGUUGUGAUGUGAAAGAAGAUGUAGUUACAGGAAUAGAAAAGGGUAUGUUGAGAUGGUUCGGUCAUGUGGAGAGGAUGAAUGAAAACAGGUUGACUAAGCAGAUAUACAAGGAGAGUGUGGAGGGAAAGGUCGGAGUGGGAAGACCUAGACGAACAUAUCUUGAUCAAAUUAAGGACGUCCUGGUAAAGGGUCAGGUCAAAAGUACCCGAAACCGCCGAGCUUGCAUGAAGAGAGUUAUGAAUGUGGAUGAAGCGAAGGAAGUAUGCAGAGAUCGUGGCAAGUGGAAAGAGGUAGUCUCUGCCUACCCCUCCGGGAAAGAGGCGUGAUUUGAUGUACCUAUGUAUCUGUUAAACAUAGAUUCACCUAUCUGUUUUUAAGAGACUGAUUUUGAUGCGAUUUUUUACAUGAAUGCUACUUUUAAAUAGUUCUGAACCUAAUAGAACUAUAAGUUGAGUGAUAUGCUGCAAUCACUGUCUCUUUUUUUUCAGAUGUUAACUCAGAUAUUAUUGAAAAACAGAAUAUUCCUUCAUGUAGUCCGCCAAAACAUGACGACACAAUAUCUAAUAGUCUUGAAAAAUUCAAUAACUCUGAUAGUUACUACUCCCAAUAUUCUCGUAACUGACACCACUUUAACUAUUGCAUCUACAUCUAUGAGAUCAAGGGCAUCUUCUACUAGUUCCAGCUCGUCGUCUAGUUCCAGCAGCAGUAGUAGUAGUAGUUCAUCAUCCCGUAGUGGUACACCAAUAAAUAGAGAAAAAUCUGUAACACCUCAAGACAAACAACCUGAAAUUCAGAUAUCAGAUUCACCUUCAAUUUUAAUAAUAUUGAAACGACGCCUGCACGUCGAGCCCCUGCAGUAAAUUAUCAUGUUUCACCGAUAAACUCUGGAGAAAGUGAGGUCGAUCUUAGCGACAAUGAUCCUACCUAUAACCAAGGAAGUAGACCACGUUUAUCAACCACCACAUCUUUGUCUUCUGCAACAGAAACCAUAGCUGAAGUGUCCACAUCUAAGAAAUUAACAAGAAAACGUAAAGCCGACCCUACCAGGUGGAAGCAGAAUCAGCAAAAGAUCAAACGAAACUUAGGAGAAGCAUACACAUCUACUAAUACCAAAAAACAAAUUCUUGCUCGGGAAAUUAAGCCACCAUGUACUCAAAAAUGUAGAUUAAAAUGUUGUGAAAAAAUUAAUGGUAGUAAAAGAAUUGAAUAUUUUAAAUCCUUCUGGGCAUUAGGAAGCCUUCAACUCCAACGUAUUUUUAUUUUAUCAAGCAUAUCUUCUGUUACACCUAAAUAUAAAUACACAACUGCAUUUGUUUGAUUGCUUUUUGGUUCUAUUUAAGAAUAGGUAUUCGCUUUUUUUAAUAUUCUUUUUCAUUUUAUAAGAAAUAAAGAAGUUUCUGACGCAUUAUUGUUCUUUUUUGGAUGAGUAAAAUUUUUUAAACUAUAAAUUUUUGUAAAAAUAUCGCAUUUAAACUUAUUUAAUGUUAGAAUCUAUGAGUAGUAUAGUCUUAUUUUGAAAUAGGACCUUUAAAUGUUUUAAACUGUUAUAUUAAAAAGUCGUAAUUCCAAAUUUGCCUUAAAUAAAUACAGACAUUAAGUAUAAUAAAGGCCUAAAUUAGAAAGUUAUUUUUAAUUAAGCUAUAUUUUACUUAAAUUUAAAUAUGCUAAAAAAUUUUGCUUAUGAUUUUGUUGUAAACUUACCUGCAAUAAAGUAUACAAAAUUUCAAAACUCUAGCGUUAAAAAUGGUGAAGUUAAUAAGAAUUAAAAAAAAAAUCGGCGUAAGUCAAAUCUUUAUCACACUAUUCCCAAAAAUCGCAUUUUUCGAAUUGCGCCCCUCUUUUACUAGGCGAGCGAU